ACCAACAAAGACCAAAAUCCUUUAUCUUUGGGAGUUGAGGAGAGUUUAUCAGCUCGUGUUCCCAUUGAGUCUGAGAACUUUGCCUUUAAAAUCCAUCCCUGGCCCCUGCCUACCACUUCCUGACCUGGGGAAUAGAGUCGAAGGGGCCACCCUCAGUCACCUUCCUUUGACUCUCCCCACAGAAACAACAGAACCGAGCUCAGCUGGAAGAAGUAAUGUGAUUUCUUUGUUUGCUCACAUGACUGCUGGGUUUGGAGGACACUCAGCCGUAGAGGCCCCAGUCUCGUCUCACCCACUCCCAGCCUGGGGAAGAAGGCUCACCCCCCGGAUCCCACCCCAUCCACACAGGGUCCCUGAUAACCUGGUCCCAUGGGUGGGCCUGUCCUGGGGCAGUGGUGCCGUUCUGGGGGCAUGUCUCUUGCUGUGCCAUCUCUGCCUCCCCCUAGUAAGAGCUCUGUCUUCCUCUUUCUAUAGGAAAAGAAGGCAAGCCACCAACAUCAGGAAGCCCUAAGGAGGGAGCUAGAGGUAAGUGGAAGGUGUGAAGUUCCCUCCUGUCCUCUGGAGGUUUCUUUGCUUCUCUUUCAGCACUUGCUUGUCUUUUCUCCCAAAGGCCCAGGUUCAUACCAUACGAAUCCUUACAUGUGAGAAAACUGAGCUUCAGACGGCACUCUAUUACAGCCAGCGUGCUGUCCAGCAGUUGGAAGGUGGGAAUCUGGCACCCGGUCAUCCUUCAACUUGGCACUUUGACAAGCCUUUAGGGGGAGUCCUUUGGGCCGCAUCUGAAUGUCUCUCAUUCCAGGAGAGUCCAGGCAUCUGGUGAGCAGCCUCCAUGAUUCAUGGAAGUUUGCCGGAGAGUUAGAGCGGGCUCUCUCUGCUGUCGCUACACAGAAGAAUAAGGCUGACAGGUACAUCGAGGAGUUAACAAAGGAGAGGGACGCCCUGAGUCUGGAACUGUACAGGAACACCAUAACCGAUGAUGAGCUGAAGGAGAAAAAUGCCGAACUACAAGAAAAACUUCGACUUGUAGAAUCUGAGAAGUCUGAGAUCCAGCUCAAUGUAAAGGAGCUAGAAAGGAAGCUGGAGAAGGCCAAGCUCCUGCUGCCACAGGCAAGCAGCUACAGCCCCGGGGGUUGUGGGAUCCCCGUCCGGCUGGGACCAUGGUCUAGGAUCAUGCAGGCUAUGGGGAGG
rnacentral:lncRNA from 1 species